AUAAUAAAAAGGAGCUGCUUUCUAAUACUUCGCUUCCUUGUAAUGCCUACGUUAACAAUAACGAGGUUCGACUUUUUGUUUUUAGAGGGAUACUGGAAAAUUUGAAAGUACAGUACCAUUGGGAAGAAAAUCACGAUAUUGAAAACGAUAUUUGCAAAUUGAACAAUAUUCCAGAUUUAUUCAUAAUUUCAUACUACGCGAAGAAUAGACUUUCAUAGGUAUAUAAAGGAAAUAUUAAGUAUAGGAAAACUCUUUUUCGUUGUAGGUGACAUAUGCUUCACGGUUGAACACAUGUAUUUUUGAACACAUAUAAAUGAAGAAGUACUCUUAUGGAGAAAAAGAAUUGAUACCUUCGAUUGACAUUAGAUAAUGUAUAUAAACUUAUGAACAAUCACUAUCAGUUUGUAUUUUAGGUGCACACGCAGAUUUGUUGGAGUUCUUAUAAAAUGUACUUCCUGUACGAACGUUUUAUUCUUCCAAAUUUUACGAUACUAUGUCUCAUAUGAUAACUAUAUGGAUUAAACGUAAUAUAAAUGAUCCGAAAAUAGACUCGAACGACAUUAAUUGUCUUUCUAUUUAUACCAAUAUCGAAAAUACAAGUAAAGCUGGAGCAAUAGUAUGCAAGAAUGGACUAUUUAUUAUUUUAAACCAAAUCAUAGCAUAUUCAGAAUGCACAGUAUUAUCAUGAAAUGUAAAUGAAUCAGUUGUAAACGAACGAUUUUACUGUAAAAUCAUUGCCACCUUUUUUUCAUCUGAAAUAUAGCAGCAAUGAGUACAUUCUUUUAAUAUAUAAUAAAACGAGAUAUCUUUAUAAAGUUACAUAUGUCAUCACUGGUAACUGUUAUCUCGUAUGACACCAAAUAUACCGUUAGUAUGGAAUGAUAUUUUUAUGAAGAUAUACUUUAAUGAUAGAUUUUAUGAAUGAAACGUUAUAUAAGAAAAAUUAUCUCUUGUUAUUCUAUGAAGUGUAGUAGCUAAUGAAGAUUAAUUUUACGAAGUAUUAGAGCAAAAGAGAAUUAAAAAAUUAAAAAGAUCUAAAUAAGAUUGUUCGUGUGGCUUAAUUAUCUCAAUUCUGGUACACCACUUGUUACAUUCUAACUAAUUAGCGCUAAACAAUAACUUGCAAAUAUUAAAGAUAUUAACACCUUAAUAUUAACACCUAAAGGUUUUCAGGAAAUUUUAUAAUAUUUGAUUAUUGUAUAUCUAGUCAUUGAUUGAUAAAAUUUCUUGUAUAAGCAUAGAUCGAGGUUGACGUCAUACGCAGAUUGCAUUACAGGUAUCGUUUUAAUUUAUUUUAUGGCUAGAAUCAUUUGAAUAUUAUACGAAUAAUUAUUUCCAUUCGAACGAUUAAUAAAUCAC